AAAGAUCUCGAUGACAAGAUGACAAACGAUAUUUUCUAAUAAAUUCUUUUUAUAAUUAUUAAUUUCUUUUUUAUUUCUUGAGAUUUAAUACUUGAGUAUAAAGUUUGCAAUAUUAGAGGCAACCACGGUACUCGCAGGUUAUUUUAUUUGGCCUGUAUAUGAAGUAAAUACCGACAAUCUAAAUAUUUAUUUUCAAACACCCCACAUUAUAAAAUUUAUUAAUAAUAUCCAUUACACAUAGUCAUGUAUAACUUAAUUUCCAUUAUCUGUCCAUACAAUGUUAAAGUUAAAGAUAAAAAGCAGUCGUUGCUUUGCGGAAGCAAAACGCAUAUAAUUUUGAAAUUAUUCCGCGCAUCUACACCGCAGUUAUUGUUUGUUGAUAGACGUUUCCAAGUGUUACUCUGCAACAGCCGACAGCCAAGUUAAUAAUAUAAAGUAAUUAAGCCACAUAAGUUACAGAUUGUUACCUUAUGUUAUGUUGCAUUUUGUUGCUCCACAAAAGUUAACUGCGGUGUGGAUACACGGUAAGGCGAUUAAGAAUAUCUAGAAGAAACAAGAACUGCAGUUAUGGGUCGACCGAUAUGGGUAUUCUGGAAACAUGAAAUAUAGAAUCAGGUCGAAGACGUGAAAUAAAUCCAAAAAUGAAUUCAUUGUCUAGCCACUCGUAAACUCGUACUAAGGGUACUCUUAGUACGAGUUUGCUUUACGUUUAAAGUUACAGGACAUUGUGCCUGAACGCAAGGUGUAUUCGAGUUAUUUCCAAUACUUUAUUCUCCACACGCGUAACAACGCGCGCGUGCUAAUUUUUCAAUCUGUGAUAUCACCUUCAUUCUGCUCGCUGCGUAUUGCAGCAAGUCAGCACUAAUCUUAAGAAUUACAAAAAUCUAUAAUAGCUCAUCGAUAAAGGAAAACCAAUGUCAUUUUAGCUACAAUAAAACAUUAGAUAAGUUGGAUGACGGUGAGACGUAAAAUAUUGUGGUGCAGAAACAUGUGCGGUCUAAUAGGACUGACUUUUCUGAUAGUGAACGAAUUACUUUGGUGGAAACAAAAGUGUAUCAUUUGAAUUUAUUUUGUUUAACCGAUAAUUUAUUGUAAACCUUAUUAAAAAACACUUAAUACAAACACUCAAAAACUAA